UUUGCCGCAGCGCGGGGCGCAGGGAGAGCGGCCGGAGGGCGGAAGGAGGCCAAACCAGGUACAGACCAGGUGCCCGUAGACGUCGGUGGGCUGAAGGUAGAAGGUGGAGUUGAGCAGCUCUUCCAGCCGGCGCGGAACGCCGUUCUCCUGGUAGUACUCCAUCGCCUGCUGCUUCAGCCUCUGCAGCUCCCUAGGGGUCCCGCAGCCGCGGCCGCCACCGUCGUCCCCCAUGAUGGAGAGUGUCAGCGUGUACAGCCUGUGCGGGUGUAAAGCCAGAAGCAAGAUAAAGUGUGGUUCAAGGUGGGAGGUCACCGCUUCAGGGGAAAAAUUAUUGUCUGAGACACAAAGAGUGACUGAUAGAGUUCCUGCUAUUUUCCAGGCCUGCCUUAGCUGUUCCUACGAUGCUUUGAAUUUCUCCGUUGAUUGUAAAGCACUUACUAGGGUUGCUUGGACGUGUGCCCUGUGUGGUCCCACUUGGUUCCCCGUGUCUGAUGCUCUGCUCUCACCAUCCGGACAUGCUUGCUGCAGUUCCACGUUGCACCUAUGGGCCACACCCCUCCCAUAGGUGGGCCUGCCUCUGGGGCUGUGCAGCCCUCCCCACACUGUGUGCAAUGCAUGGAGUCACAACAUUGACAUUUGCUGCAAAUCCAUCUGUUAGAACCCACCCAGAGUAGUGGAGAAAGAGGGUGUGGCACGAAGAG